UGUUAUAAUGAUGAAUAUUUUUUUUUACAGUUAUCCCUGUCUUAAUCAAUCUAUGUUGAGAAUCGUAAACCUGAUACAAUA
rnacentral:snoRNA from 1 species